GGGAAUGUGGCUUAGUGGUAGAGUGCUUGCCUAGCAUGCAUGAAGCCCUGGGUUAGAUUCCUUAGUACCA
rnacentral:tRNA from 1 species